CAGCAGCCGCGGUAAUACGAGGGGGGCAAGCGUUGUUCGGAUUUAUUGGGCGUAAGGGGUGCGUAGGCGGUUUGGCAAGUCUUGUGUGAAAUCUUCGGGCUCAACCCGAAGCCUGCACGAGAAACUACCGGGCUUGAGUAUUGGAGAGGUGAGUGGAAUUUCCGGUGUAGCGGUGAAAUGCGUAGAUAUCGGAAGGAACACCUGUGACGAAAGCGGCUCACUGGACAAUAACUGACGCUGAUGCACGAAAGCUAGGGGAGCAAACAGGAUUAGAUACCCCCGUAGUCCCUGUCUCUUAUAC
rnacentral:rRNA from 1 species